GCUAAUUUAAGUUUGCCCCAUUCAAUUCUAAUAACAGAAUGCUUAUUUGCUAAGCUAAGUCCGGAAAACCGACGCAUUUCAUAUAUUAUUUCUGGCCAGUAAUGCCGUCUUUCCACAGAGAUCCCAGUUAGUACCCCAUCAAUCAAUUCCUAUCCGUUGCUUCCUUGAAAUUUAAAUUUGUUAAGUGAAUGGCACCACGGCAGCAUUGCCAAGACAGAAACCAUAGUGAAUCAUCGAUAGUUUCUUGAUAAUUGAGCAAUUGGCGCUACUCAGUUUAAAAAUAUUUUCUAAUGCCGUCUUCCCACAGAGAUCUAUCCAACAUCCGUUGAGCAGAUGGUCCAUACGGUUUCCCACUUUUUUAUGCGAUAUUUGGGCGAUGUUUUUCGGUGCAACUCUGAAUUCUUCUUCUUGACAGUGAAAACUGAAACAUUCACUAGGAAAACGUAAACAAUAAUGACGGUCCUCCGUCGGGGUGGCAGCAUUAAAAGUUGAUCCACUCUUUCCCAGGCGCAUACCGUUUUACAACAUGGAACAGAAAAUCUUGGAGAACAAGAAGAUUAUGGAAGGUAUUAGAUGUGGACCCCGCUGACCUGGAAGAAUCUGCAGCGGAUGUCGACGCACCCCCUGGAAAGCGCGCAUAGGUUGACCACAAGGCCGAGCUUGUGGAGA